rnacentral:rRNA from 1 species
UACAGAGGGUGCAAGCGUUAAUCGGAAUUACUGGGCGUAAAGCGUGCGUAGGUGGUUUUUUAAGUCCGUUGUGAAAGCCCUGGGCUCAACCUGGGAAUGGCAGUGGAUACUGGAAAGCUAGAGUGCGGUAGAGGGUAGUGGAAUUCCCGGUGUAGCAGUGAAAUGCGUAGAGAUCGGGAGGAACACCAGUGGCGAAGGCGGCUACCUGGACCAGCACUGACACUGAGGCACGAAAGCGUGGGGAGCAAGCAGG